rnacentral:rRNA from 1 species
UACAGAGGGGGGCAAGCGUUAUUCGGAAUUAUUGGGCGUAAAGGGCGCGUAGGCGGUCGUGCAAGUGGAAGGUGAAAUCCCUCGGCUCAACCGAGGAACUGCCUUUCAAACUGCAUGACUUGAGUCCGGGAGAGGUGAGUGGAAUUCCCAGUGUAGCGGUGAAAUGCGUAGAUAUUGGGAGGAACACCAGUGGCGAAGGCGGCUCACUGGACCGGAACUGACGCUGAGGCGCGAAAGCGUGGGGAGCAAACGGG